AGGUCGGUCGCCAAGUGGUAAGGCCUGCGCCUGAUAAGCGCAGAAUCGUGGGUUCGAUUCCCACCCGACCUACUA
rnacentral:tRNA from 1 species